rnacentral:rRNA from 1 species
UACGUAGGGUGCAAGCGUUGUCCGGAAUUAUUGGGCGUAAAGAGCUCGUAGGCGGUUUGUCGCGUCGAAUGUGAAAACCCGGGGCUCAACCCCGGGCCUGCAUUCGAUACGGGCAGACUGGAGUUCGGUAGGGGAGUCUGGAAUUCCUGGUGUAGCGGUGAAAUGCGCAGAUAUCAGGAGGAACACCGGUGGCGAAGGCGGGACUCUGGGCCGAUACUGACGCUGAGGAGCGAAAGCGUGGGGAGCAAACAGG